rnacentral:rRNA from 1 species
CCUACGGGAGGCAGCAGUGGGGAAUAUUGCACAAUGGGCGCAAGCCUGAUGCAGCCAUGCCGCGUGUAUGAAGAAGGCCUUCGGGUUGUAAAGUACUUUCAGCGGGGAGGAAGGGAGUAAAGUUAAUACCUUUGCUCAUUGACGUUACCCGCAGAAGAAGCACCGGCUAACUCCGUGCCAGCAGCCGCGGUAAUACGGAGGGUGCAAGCGUUAAUCGGAAUUACUGGGCGUAAAGCGCACGCAGGCGGUUUGUUAAGUCAGAUGUGAAAUCCCCGGGCUCAACCUGGGAACUGCAUCUGAUACUGGCAAGCUUGAGUCUCGUAGAGGGGGGUAGAAUUCCAGGUGUAGCGGUGAAAUGCGUAGAGAUCUGGAGGAAUACCGGUGGCGAAGGCGGCCCCCUGGACGAAGACUGACGCUCAGGUGCGAAAGCGUGGGGAGCGAAACAGGAUUAGAUACCCUGGUAGUCCACGCCGUAAACGAUGUCGACUUGGAGGUUGUGCCCUUGGUGGNGUGUCGUCGGNGCGUACGCGUAGUCGACCGCCGNGGGAGGACGGCGCGUAGUAAACGUUACAAGUAGAGUUGACGCGNGAGAGNGCGACGGCGACGACGAGGGAGAGG